rnacentral:rRNA from 1 species
GAUGAACGCUGGCGGCGUGCCUAAUACAUGCAAGUCGAGCGAACAGACGAGGAGCUUGCUCCUCUGACGUUAGCGGCGGACGGGUGAGUAACACGUGGAUAACCUACCUAUAAGACUGGGAUAACUUCGGGAAACCGGAGCUAAUACCGGAUAAUAUAUUGAACCGCAUGGUUCAAUAGUGAAAGACGGUUUUGCUGUCACUUAUCGAUGGAUCCGCGCCGUAUUAGCUAGUUGGUAAGGUAACGGCUUACCAAGGCAACGAUGCGUAGCCGACCUGAGAGGGUGAUCGGCCACACUGGAACUGAGACACGGUCCAGACUCCUACGGGAGGCAGCAGUAGGGAAUCUUCCGCAAUGGGCGAAAGCCUGACGGAGCAACGCCGCGUGAGUGAUGAAGGUCUUCGGAUCGUAAAACUCUGUUAUUAGGGAAGAACAAAUGUGUAAGUAACUAUGCACGUCUUGACGGUACCUAAUCAGAAAGCCACGGCUAACUACGUG